GGAUAACCUCCAGAGAGAAGGCUUUGUAAACUGGAAGUGACUGGCGCGAGUGGCUUUCACUUAUACACAAACACAGCGUUUUGUCAUCUGGGAGUGCUGAAAGGAUUGUUCAUUGCUGCUGGAGGAAGAUCAUGGACUGUCGCGGGAAACUGAAGUGGUUGAGUAUCCACUAGUCGUGGAUGAGGGCAGUGACUUCGCAGUUUUUUGCGAAUUACACAUCUCUUUGAUUAUGUUGUGACUAGUUUUGUUAGAUAGUCAUUUAGUGUUUGGGAUACCUGUUAAGCCCUUUGUCCAGGGACUGUGGUUGGAUUUAUGAAUUAUUUGGACGGUUGUCCACUUGAAAGAACUGACAGUAGCUUCAUAACAAUGUUACAAAUCUCGUUCUAAGAUUAAGCUGUUGAACCUAUAUUUGCCAUUAGCGCUUAAUUUUUGAAGUAUUAUUUUUAUGAAUCAAGCCCUGGAAAAGGACAAGAUAUUUGAAUGAAAUAGCACCCAUAAUGGAGAACUUCACAGUUGCUACUCCUGUGAUAGGUUUAUCUUAGUUUCAUUGUGGUAUAAAUGGAAUAGCAGGUGUUGUCAGGUACAAGGUUUGUAGCUUGCCAAUAUGUUCAUUACCAACACUGCAGAUUCCCAUUGAGUUGGUGGGGGUUUUGUUACCUUUGUUUUUUUUCUCAGCAAAAUAAUUCUAUAACUUUUUGUUUGUGACA
rnacentral:lncRNA from 1 species